AUUGAACGCUGGCGGCAGGCCUAACACAUGCAAGUCGAGCGGAUGAAGGGAGCUUGCUCCUGGAUUCAGCGGCGGACGGGUGAGUAAUGCCUAGGAAUCUGCCUGGUAGUGGGGGAUAACGUCCGGAAACGGGCGCUAAUACCGCAUACGUCCUGAGGGAGAAAGUGGGGGGUCUUCGGACCUCACGCUCUCAGAUGAGCCUAGGUCGGAUUAGCUAGUUGGUGGGGUUAGGGGCUACCAAGGGGACGAUCCGUAACUGGUCUGAGUGGAGGAUCGGUCACCUGGGAAGUUGAACACCGACCUGGGUCCUAAGGGAGGGCGCAGUUGGGUAUGGUGGGCAACGGGGGGAAGCCUUGUCCAGUCAGGGCGCGUGUGAUGAAGAAGUCCUGCGAGUGGAAAGCCGGUUUAGGUGGGAGGAAGGGCAGUAAGUUAAUACCUUGCUGUUUUGACGGUACCAACAGAAUAAGCACCGGCUAACUUCGUG
rnacentral:rRNA from 1 species